rnacentral:tRNA from 1 species
CGCCUCGUCGUCUAGCAGCCGAGGACGCCGGGCUUUCAAUCCGGACAACGCCGGUGCGAAUCCGGCCGGGGCGACCA